AAAACCAGCAAAAUCGCACAAUUAGGAAGUCGGACACGAAAAUUUGUCGACAUUUUCACCGCCAAAACCAUUUGUCUGAAGCUUCGUGCCUGGCAUAUUCUAUUUCAAUAAGACAGAAGAUACCUGUUUAAUAUUGCGUUUUAAUCAUCCUCUGAUCUGCCUGGGCAGGCAACCCGGGCGUUAGAGAUGGCGGACCCGGCUAAGAAAGGUACCGUUGCCCUGGAGGAGGAUGACGAGUUCGAGGAGUUUCAACAUGAGGACUGGGAGCCUAGCCUGGUGUGCGCUGUUCAUAUUGCCUCUUGAAAGCCGACCCGUUAGUUAGAACCAUCCCUUUUUCUGACCAGUUCUUAUCCCCUGCACAGGAGGACCUUAAGAGGAAGGAGCUUUGGGACAAGUCAUGGGACGAUGAUAGCCUUGACGACUCCGUGGGCCAGCAGCUGCGCGCACACCUUCCUAAUUCCGUUCAUGCACAGCAACAACAACAACAACAACAGCAAGCGCAGCAAUAGAGGAGGAGCAGGGAGCUUUGCAGCGAACCAGGAUACAGCAUCUCACGUGAAUGGGAGAGGCCGCCUGCCUCCAAGGGUCCCCUAAGCUUGGGCGCCGUCGAGGGCGCUAAGAGCCCAGCAGCGCUGCAGGAGGCACGUGCCUGGUCAAACCAUUGCCACCGGAAUCGCUGGAAUGUCUUAAUGCAUCUGCUUGUGUAGGCCAGGCAGGCAGGUGCCCUGCGGGUAUCUCUCGUUGGCCCGCUGCUGCUGGUCGGAUUUGAUCUGGGUCGGUCUUACUUAGGGCACUGUGUGCGCCGCAACAUGCCGGGCGGGGUGCAAGUCAGGCACAGAAAAACAGCGCCUGGAGUUUGACAACCCACCCGCAAUCCCAAAGGCCAAGGAACAGGCGAUGGGGCGCCCCGUUUCCCCUUUACCAUAUGGGUGAUGUGGGUAGGGGAUGUGGGUAGGGGAUUCCAAAAGAGCGGGAAACCCAUUUGUAAAUGUGUACUCAUGCCAAGCACGGGAAGGCCUGAACAGCAAACGGCAUGUGUAUGGAUAUGUGUGUAUGUAUGUUUUUGGCCACCACUUUUGCCCACCAGGGUUGACUAAUGGCCUCCAUAGGCUAGCAGAGGACCUGGGAAAGGGUGCGUGUGUAUGAUUCAAAUUUGCGUACACAUAAGAACUGCAAGCUGCAUGCGUUUCCGCAAAACCGUGUUUGGUUUAUUUUGGGGCGUCUGUUUGUGAGUACAUACAUGAAUGCAUGCGGCUAAACCACGGUUGGCAACGUCUGCCUCCCUUGCUUUAAGGGGCAAGGACUACGGCAAGCACGAACUAUUUUCACUGCUGUGGCUUUGCAUUAGUAUCAUACAGCUUUUCCAAAGCAGCCAGAGGCGGACCUUGCUUGUGAAGCGGGAAGGC
rnacentral:lncRNA from 1 species